rnacentral:rRNA from 1 species
AGCGAACGCUGGCGGCAGGCCUAACACAUGCAAGUCGAACGAACCCUUCGGGGUUAGUGGCGGACGGGUGAGUAACACGUGGGAACGUGCCUUUAGGUUCGGAAUAACUCAGGGAAACUUGUGCUAAUACCGAAUGUGCCCUUCGGGGGAAAGAUUUAUCGCCUUUAGAGCGGCCCGCGUCUGAUUAGCUAGUUGGUGAGGUAAGGGCUCACCAAGGCUACGAUCAGUAGCUGGUCUGAGAGGAUGACCAGCCACAUUGGGACUGAGACACGGACAAAACCCCGACGGGAGCCAGCAGGGGGGAUCCUUGCGAAAGGGGCAAAAGCCUGACGCAUCCAUGCCGCGUGGAUGAUGAAGUUCUUAGGAUUGUAAAAUUCUUUCACCGGGGACGAUAAUGACGGUACCCGGAGAAGAACCCCCGGCUAACUUCGUGCCAGCCGCCGCGGUAAAAC